UUUUUUUCUCAUAAAUGUUACCAUAUUAUACGAACUAAAAAUUACAAGGUUCACUGUUACAAAAGUGGAAGCUUCCACAAGCACACAACAUACACCAUCAGAUUAUCUAAUGGUUACGAUAAUCAUACUACACAAGUGUACAAAAACAUCUAAAGAUUUCACCUCUCCGUGAAAUUCUGGAAAUGAUCUGCCAAAAAAAAUUCCAAAGAUCACUUCCCAUUAUUCAACGUCGUUUUUGUUGUUUGCAUCAAAACAGAGUACCUAAACAUCAUCUUCAAAAAACCAAUUUUGAAGUUGGUGAAUCUUCCAAGAAAUAGACGUUGGGGAAUCUUCUAUGAGAAUAGAAAUGAAUGAAUCUCCCAAGCAUAAGUAUUAUGGAGAUAUUAAAAAGGAAAUUGUUAGCAGUAAUCACAAGAAGUUUUACGAGCCUAAUACCGAGGGAUUCUGAAACCUCUAAAGAAAAGAUAAGUCUGAACACUCUGCGAAAAAACUUAUUUAUAGAAAAACAUUGAACUAAAAGCAUAAUAAAGAAUCAAAUUGUGAGUA
rnacentral:lncRNA from 1 species